rnacentral:tRNA from 1 species
GUACUUAUAGUUUAACUAAAACAUUAGAUUGUGGUUCUAAAGACAAAAGUUAAAACCUUUUUAAUUACC